UACGUAGGGGGCAAGCGUUGUCCGGAAUUAUUGGGCGUAAAGCGCGCGCAGGCGGUUUCUUAAGUCUGAUGUGAAAGCCCACGGCUCAACCGUGGAGGGUCAUUGGAAACUGGGGAACUUGAGUGCAGAAGAGAAAAGCGGAAUUCCACGUGUAGCGGUGAAAUGCGUAGAGAUGUGGAGGAACACCAGUGGCGAAGGCGGCUUUUUGGUCUGUAACUGACGCUGAGGCGCGAAAGCGUGGGGAGCAAACAGG
rnacentral:rRNA from 1 species